GAGAAAGUAAGCAAGGGCAGACGGUGGAUGCCUUGGCUCUCGGAGGCGACGAAGGACGUGAUAAGCUGCGAAAAGCCCGGGGGAGGCGCAAAUAGCCCUUGAUCCCGGGAUAUCCGAAUGGGGCAACCCGGCAGGCUGAAGGCCUGCCAUCCCGUAAGGGGAGGCGAACGUGGGGAACUGAAACAUCUAAGUACCCAUAGGAGGAGAAAAUAAACAAUGAUUCCGUAAGUAGUGGCGAGCGAACACGGAAGAGCCCAAACCCAUGUCGUCUAGGCGACACGGGGGUUGUAGGACCACGACGUGGCAAGAGGAUGGCAAGUGGAACGCCUUGGAAAGGGCGACCGUAGAGGGUGAUAGUCCCGUACACGACUGCCUGCCGAAGCCUAGUGGCAUCCUGAGUAGCGCGGGGCACGAGAAAUCUUGCGUGAAACAGCGGGGCCCAUCCCGUAAGGCUAAAUACUCCCGAGAGACCGAUAGCGAACCAGUACCGUGAGGGAAAGGUGAAAAGAACCCCGAGCAGGGGAGUGAAAUAGACCCUGAACCCGUCUGCCUACAAGCGGUCGGAGCAUAGCAAUAUGUGACGGCGUGCCUUUUGCAUAAUGAACCUACGAGUUACCUUCCCCGGCAAGGUUAAGUACCUAAGGUACGGAGCCGAAGCGAAAGCGAGUCUGAAGAGGGCGGCCAGUCGGGGGGGGUAGACGCGAAACCGAGUGAUCUACCCUUGGCCAGGUUGAAGGUUGGGUAACACCAACUGGAGGACCGGAUGGGUAAGCGUUGAAAAGCUUUCCAAUGAGCUGAGGGUAGGGGUGAAAGGCUAAUCAAACUCGGAGAUAGCUCGUACUCCCCGAAAUGCAUUUAGGUGCAGCCUCUUUAUAGUAUAUCGUGAGGUAGAGCGACUGAUUGGAUGCGAGGGCUUCACCGCCUAUCAAGUCCAGAUAAACUCCGAAUGCGCGAUAUAUAUUUACAGGGAGUGAGGGCGCGGGUGCUAAGGUCCGUGUCCGAGAGGAGAAGAAUCCAGACCACCGGCUAAGGCCCCCAAAUGAUCGUUGAGUUGAACUAACGAGGUCGGAUCGCAGAGACAGCUAGGAUGUUGGCUUGGAAGCAGCCAUUCAUUUAAAGAGUGCGUAACAGCUCACUAGUCGAGCGAUCUGGCGUGGAUAAUAAUCGGGCAUAAACGAUCUGCCGAAGCCGUGGAUGUCGUAAGACAUGGUAGGGGAGCAUUCCAUGCGGCGUCGAAGAUGAGGGAUGACCCUUGUUGGAGCGCAUGGAAAAGCAAAUGUAGGUAUGAGUAACGAUAAGGGGGGCGAGAAACCCCCCGCCGAAAGACCAAGGUUUCCUGAUCAACGCUAAUCGGAUCAGGGUGAGUCGGGACCUAAGGCAAAGCCGAACGGCGCCGCCGAUGGAAGAAUGGGUUAAUAUUCCCAUACUGCCUCAUGGAGUGACGUGGAGACGGAGAAGUGACAGUCCUGCCGGCUGACGGAAUAGCCGGUUGAAGGGUGUAGAUAUUGAUUCCCGUAGGCAAAUCCGCGGGGAGAGUCGAACCUGACAGUAUACCGAGUACUUGUACGAGGUAAUAUGGACGUAACCAUGCUCCCAAGAAAAUCCGCUAAACUUAUCCAUGCGGCACCCGUACCGUAAACGGACACACGUGGUCGGGUUGAGAAUACUGAGGCGCUCGAGUGACUCACGGUUAAGGAACUAGGCAAAUUGACCCUGUAACUUCGGGAUAAAGGGUCCUCGUCGUAAGGCGAGGCGCAGAGAAUAGGUCCAGGCAACUGUUUAACAAAAACACAUGGCUAUGCUAAAUGGAAACAUGACGUAUAUAGCCUGACACCUGCCCGGUGCUGGAAGGUUAAGAGGAGAUGUCAUCGCAAGAGAAGCGUUGAAUUGAAGCCCCAGUAAACGGCGGCCGUAACUAUAACGGUCCUAAGGUAGCGAAAUUCCUUGUCGGGUAAGUUCCGACCUGCACGAAUGGUGUAAUGAUCUGGACACUGUCUCAACCGUGAGCUCGGUGAAAUUGUAGUAUCGGUGAAGAUGCCGAUUACCCGCGAUGGGACGAAAAGACCCCGUGAACCUUUACUAUAGCUUUACAUUGAAUUUGGGCAGACGAUGUGUAGGAUAGGCCGGAGGCUUUGAAGGGGGUACGCCAGUAUCCUUGGAGCCGCCGUUGAAAUACGGCCCUUCGGUUGUUUGAGUUCUAACUCCUAGGCAGGAGGACACUGUAUGGUGGGUAGUUUGACUGGGGUGGUCGCCUCCAAAAGCGUAACGGAGGCUUCUAAAGGUGCCCUCAGACCGAUUGGUAACCGGUCGCAGAGUGUAAUGGCAUAAGGGCGCUUGACUGGGAGAGAUACAACUCGAUCAGGUAGGAAACUAGAGCAUAGUGAUCCGGUGGUUCCGCAUGGAAGGGCCAUCGCUCAAAGGAUAAAAGGUACUCCGGGGAUAACAGGCUGAUCAUUCCCAAGAGCUCAUAUCGACGGAAUGGUUUGGCACCUCGAUGUCGGCUCGUCACAUCCUGGGGCUGGAGAAGGUCCCAAGGGUUGGGCUGUUCGCCCAUUAAAGUGGCACGCGAGCUGGGUUCAGAACGUCGUGAGACAGUUCGGUCUCUAUCUAUCGUGGGCGCAGGAGAUUUGAGGGGCUCUGACACUAGUACGAGAGGACCGUGUUGGACGUACCACUGGUUUACCGGUUGUCCCGCCAGGGGCACCGCCGGGUAUCUAAGUACGGAUCGGAUAAGUGCUGAAAGCAUCUAAGUACGAAGCCGGCCUCAAGAUUAGAUCUCCCUGAAGGGUGGUUAUAGACGAUGACCUUGAUAGGCCACAGGUGUAAGGGCGGCGACGUCCGAGCCGAGUGGUACUAAUAGCCCGGGACUUUCCUCA
rnacentral:rRNA from 1 species